GCCCCGGCCGUGCCCUGAGCCCCGCACCGCCACCGCGACCUCCGGCCGUCUCCGGCGCCGCGUGGGACCGCUUGGGGGUUGCGGGAUGCGGGCGGUGCGGAGCGGCGCGGAGCGGCGCGGCGAAUCCCCCCUCCCGCACGGCGGUGGUGCGGUCCGAGAAGAUGGCGGCGGGACGCGGCGGGAGCGCUGAGCAUCCCCCAGCAGAUGCCUGCAGGAGGAGGUGACCCCAGCGGGUGAGAUGGCUGAGUGGGAGCGGCUGUUUGCACAGAGCCGUGCUGUCCCACCUCACACCCAGCGCAGACACGGCGCGCCGGAGCGCUCGGUGCCUUUCCAGUGUGUCCUGAAGUGCCUCGAGGGUUCUGUUGUCACGCAGCAGCCCCCAGCUGAGCUGCAGCUCCGCCUGUCUCUCUUCGAUGCCGCCCACCGCCACUUCUUUGGCCACACGUGGCACAGCAGCACCCGGACCCCCUGCAGCCCCCCAGGGCAGCCCCCCUGUGUGCUCUUCAAUGAGGCCGUGUAUUUCCACACCUCGCUCAGCCACCCCAGCAUCACAGCCGUGCUGGAGGUGGUGGCUGUGGCCCCCACCCCAGAAGGGCUCUCACGGGACGUGUCGUGUGGCUUCGGGCUCAUCCCACUGUUUGACAGCAGGCGGGAGCCCUCAGACCUGGCUGCCAAGGGCAGAGUGCUCAAGCUGUACCACGGGACACCACGUGCCUUGCUGCACCCGCUUCUCCAGGACCCUCUAGAAAAGAAUAAAUACAUGACUAUAAUGGAGAACAGCCACCUGCAGUACACCCUAAAGCUCCACCAGCCUCUGGAGAAGGUAUUUCACCUCCUUCCUGAAAACUUCCUGGUGUCUGGCCUGCAGAAGAUCCCUGGCCUGCUGCCUGCACAUGGGGACACAGGUGACAUCUUCCUGAAGCCGCGGCUCAUGGGGACGGCCCCCUGCUACCUGGACCAGCUCUGUGUGCUCCUGCACCCUUCUCUGGAGGAGUUUGAGGAAGAGCUGCUGGAGCAGCUGAACAGCGACCGCUUGCUGAAGCAGGAGGCUGGCAGUGCACUGUGCGUGCAGGAGCGGCGGCUGCGUGUCGGUGUGCACAACGGGCUGCGCUUCGUCCAGGCUCCACAGGUGGCCGUGCUGCAGCCAGCAGCUGAGGUGGCCCGGAGACAAACCACCAGCUCCACGGACAGCGCUGCAAAGCAGGCGCUGCUGCUGCGGAGCCGCCUGCAGCUGGGUGAGAUGGUCGCCCAUCCGGCCUUUGGGGUCUGCUUCCAGCUGGAGUACGUCGUCUGUGCUGCAGCCAAGGCUGCAGCCGGCAGUGUGUUGGGCCCAGCAGCUGCCAUGCACACGGUGCGCUGGGCGCUUUGGAGCCCCUUCCUGGGUGCCACCUCCUCCCCAGUGCUGCUGCCCCUGCGCGGCGGUGCCCAUCCCAGCCCCAGCCAGACCCUGGUGUACAGAAACCCUGCAGACAGCGAGAGCUCCCAGCAGGUGAAGCGCAUUGCGUCGGGUUCCGUCCAAUUCCACGUUUCCACUGAUGCAGAACAUCGUGUGACUUCUACAGACAUCUCGAGUAAAGCUGGGAAGGAGCCGGAGGAGCCUCCUACGCCAUCACUGAGUCUGCGCUCCCCGCUGCGCCCGGCAGCCUCCACGCAGGGACCAGGGCUGUCUCUCUCACAGCUGCUGGCCUCGCCGCAGAGCAGGGAUGAGCGCGCAGUGCCUCGGAGCCGCAGUGCCCCAGUGCCCCGGGCCUGCAGCACGCAGAGGGACGGCCGCGCCGAGCGCACUGCUGGCAUCACGCACCUGGAGGCUGACCUGAGGUCGGGCUCCCCGAGCGUGGAUGCCUCCAGCAGUGAGCACCUGUGGGCGCUGCCCUUUGUGCCGACGCAGCUGCCCGUCACGGCUGUGGGGCUGCCUGCUGGGAGCACUGCACUCAGCCGUGCCUCGCUGGCGCUCCUGCACACCUCUGGCUUCCCAGAGAUCCUCGAUGGCAACAAGGAGCCCGUGGAGGUCACGGAGCCGCUGAACCCCGCGCACUUCAGUCCUCGGCUGGAGGAAGUGGAUGCUCUGCAAAGCAAUGAAAUAAUCCUGCAGUUCCUUGCGUUCAGUAGGGCUCCUCAGGAUGCACUGGAAGGGAUGUGGCCGAGGACAGUGUUCCUCACCUUCCAGUUCUACCGCUUCCCCCCGGUCACCACGCCGCGGCUGCAGCUGCUCGAUGCGGAUGGCGAGAGGGCAGUUGGGUCUGCUGUGCCAGCACAAGUGCUGCUCCAGCUGAAUAAGGAUGGGACCCCAAACACUGAAUCCGCAGGGCUGCAGCUGAGGUACGUGGUGGAUCCCACCUUCCUGAGGCCUGGGGAGCAGCGUGUCUUCGUGCGCUACCUGGCUGAGCACAGCCUGCAGAUGGACAUCUGGGAUGGGGACUCGCUGCUGCUGGUCGGCUCUGCUGCGGUUAAACUGAAGCCCCUGCUGCGCCAGGGCCGGCCGGCUGUCAGGACGCUGCAUGAGCUGGACGUGGUCACCACUGAGUACGAGCAGGAUGCACCACCAGCAGCAGGCAGGGAUGUGCUGUGUCCUCUGGGUGCCCGUGUGGCCGUACGAGGCCGCCUGCACCUCUGCUUGGCCAACAUUGGUCACCGCUGUGAGGAGACUCCUGUGAGCCCCAGGCACCCACUGCUGUCCCACACCCACGUUGUGUCCUCUCCGGGUGGUGGCUGUUUGCUGUCCCUGCACACCAGUGGGGAUGUCAGGGUAUCUCGGGCACGCAGGCUGGCCGAGGUGGAUAGCGAGUUGGCAGCCAUUCUGUGCAGCCAUCGGCUGGAGCAGAGCCCAGAACCCCUGCAUGCCCCACACGAGGCCGCGGCCAUCCAGCAGCACAAGCUGCAGCGCUUGGCAGCAUUGCAGCAGCAGGAGGAUGCUGACUGGAGGAUCCCACAGCGCACGGGCUGCUGUGAGCAGUGCAUGCAGUACCUGCAGAUCAUCGAUGCCUACCGAGAGCGCACCAAGCACCGGUACAUCUCCCAGAUGCUCAGCCAGGCCAUCACCAUCACACACACUGUGUAUGCCAUGCUGGGAACAGCUGAGUUCUUUGAGUUCGCCCUGAAGAACCCCUACAGUGUCCAGCACACGGUGACGGUUGAGGUUGACCACCCCGAGCUCAGUGUCAUACUGGACCCAAGGGAGUGGCGGCACUUCAAGGAGUUGACCCAGACAGCCACCCCGCUGGAGGAGGACAUGUUCCACCUGCAGGAUGACCUCAGGCCUCAGAUCUACCUGCGGCCCAAGGAAACUGUGCACAUACCCUUCCGGUACCAGAUGUUCUCUGCAGAGCCGGCUGCCACGGCGGUGCUGGGACCCGUGGGGCUGAGCAAAGAAGAUGCAGGGAGGAUGCAGGAGGAGCCAAGGGCUGCGCAGAUGAGGCUCAUCCAGGUGGCUUUCCGUGUGAGUGGGGGCAAACCCAUUGCGCUGCUGCAGGUGAAGGUUGAGCCCCGGCCCCACGUGGUGGAUCAGACCUUCCGCUUCUUCCACCCCGAGCUGACCUUCCUGAAGAAGGCCUUCCGCCUGCCCCCAUGGCACACGAUCCCAGGUGCUCCGGUGAGGAUGCCGGGUGGUGAUCCGGAGGUCUAUGUCCGCUGCAGCGACCCUAAUGUCAUCUGUGAGACCAAAAACAUGGGUCCUGGGGAACCACAGGACGUCUUCUUAAAAGUAGCUGGAGGACCAAGCCCGCAGAUCAAAACAUUCUUUGUUGCUAUUUAUACGGAUCCCUGGCUGGCCACGCCGCUGCACAUCUGGCAGUUCUACCUGCACUCCCUGCAGCGUUUGGAUGUCAGCUGCACUGCAGGGCAGCUCUCCCGCCUGGCCGUCCCGCUGCGCGGCACCCGCACCCUGCGCAGGGUGAAGGCGUUCUGCUCCCAUCCCCACGAGCUGAAGGUGGACCCAGCAGGUGUGUUCAUCCUGCCCCCCAAUGGGGUCCUGGAUCUGUUUGUGGGUGUGAGGCCGCGCCGGGCCGGCAGCAGAUUCUUCUACCUCAACCUGGUGGACGUGGAGUGCCACCAGCUGCUGUCCUCCUGGCUGCUCUGCGUCACCUGCCGACAGCCACUCAUUUCCAAGGCCUUUGAGAUCACCAUCCCCGCAGGCAGUGGGAAGGGCUCCAACAAGCGCAUCACCUACACCAACCCCUACCCCACACGCAGGCUGUACUUUCUGGUCACCAGCCGGCCCGACCUGCUGCAGUUCAAGGAGGACUCCUUCCAGGUUGCUGGUGGGGAGGUUUACACCAUCGGGCUGCGCUUCGCCCCGAGUCAGAGCGUGGGUGAGGAGGAGAUCCUGAUCCACAUCAACGACCAUCAGGACAAGAACGAGGAGACCUUCUGUGUGAAGGUCAUCUACUACUGAGGCCGUGGCAUGGUUCUUGGUCCUCGUUUGGGCAAUGCACUGAGCUCCCCAAUGAGCCCAGCCCUGCAGGUUGAGGGGACCGUGUCCGCUUCUCACCUCACCCCAUUGAGCUGUGGGGUCCCUCUGGCCCUAUGGGAGCCCUCUGGCCCUAUGGGAGCCCUGCUGCUGGCACAAGGACUGGGCUGCCCUGUGUUCAGAACAGGAAGGAGGAAUGUUUGCCACUGUGUGCCACAGCUGCAGAAGUGCUGACUUGCUUGGCCUUGACGUAACUAUUGGAAAUCCACCGUGAGUUCUACGGAGGGGAAGAUUCAUUAUGCAGAGAGAGGAAAAAAGGAGAUGAGAACAAAAGCAUGGAGCAAAGGAGAGCUGGAUCUCUGCUGGAUGAAGGCUGUCCCCAUUCCUGCCAUCUCCCAGCCGUUGGGGUGGGUGUGCACGUGGCAGCUGUGGCACUGCUUUGCAGGGCGUUAUGGUGAUGUUAUGGUGAUGAAUUGGUAGCCCCAGUGAAGUCGGGUGCUGAGUUA